UGGGGAAUUUUGGACAAUGGGCGAAAGCCUGAUCCAGCAAUGCCGCGUGUGUGAAGAAGGCCUUCGGGUUGUAAAGCACUUUUGUCCGGAAAGAAAUCCUUGGCUCUAAUACAGUCGGGGGAUGACGGUACCGGAAGAAUAAGCACCGGCUAACUACGUGCCAGCAGCCGCGGUAAUACGUAGGGUGCAAGCGUUAAUCGGGAAUUACUGGGCGUAAAGCGUGCGCAGGCGGUUUGCUAAGACCGAUGUGAAAUCCCCGGGCUCAACCUGGGAACUGCAUUGGUGACUGGCAGGCUAGAGUAUGGCAGAGGGGGUAGAAUUCCACGUGUGAGCAGUGAAAUGCGUAGAGAUGUGGAGGAAUACCGAUGGCGAAGGCAGCCCCCUGGGCCAAUACUGACGCUCAUGCACG
rnacentral:rRNA from 1 species